rnacentral:rRNA from 1 species
CGGCACGGGUGAGUAACACGUAUCCAACCUGCCGUCUACUCUUGGACAGCCUUCUGAAAGGAAGAUUAAUACAAGAUGGCAUCAUGAGUCCGCAUGUUCACAUGAUUAAAGGUAUUCCGGUAGACGAUGGGGAUGCGUUCCAUUAGAUAGUAGGCGGGGUAACGGCCCACCUAGUCUUCGAUGGAUAGGGGUUCUGAGAGGAAGGUCCCCCACAUUGGAACUGAGACACGGUCCAAACUCCUACGGGAGGCAGCAG